rnacentral:rRNA from 1 species
GUGACAGGUGGUGCAUGGUUGUCGUCAGCUCGUGUCGUGAGAUGUUGGGUUAAGUCCCGCAACGAGCGCAACCCUUAAACUUAGUUGCCAGCAUUUAGUUGGGCACUCUAGGUUGACUGCCGGUGACAAACCGGAGGAAGGUGGGGAUGACGUCAAAUCAUCAUGCCCCUUAUGAUUUGGGCUACACACGUGCUACAAUGGACAAUACAAAGGGCAGCUAAACCGCGAGGUCAUGCAAAUCCCAUAAAGUUGUUCUCAGUUCGGAUUGUAGUCUGCAACUCGACUACAUGAAGCUGGAAUCGCUAGUAAUCGUAGAUCAGCAUGCUACGGUGAAUACGUUCCCGGGUCUUGUACACACCGCCCGUCACACCACGAGAGUUUGUAACACCCGAAGCCGGUGGAGUAACCAUUUAUGGAGCUAGCCGUCGAAGGUGGGACAAAUGAUUGGGG